AGUUUAUCUCAGUGAAACGAUAGCUAAUCAUCCAAUUAUUUUCACUUUGACAUGAAAAUGUAGACAUUUAAAAAAUCCCCAACAAUUUGAAUGUCGUGGGAUUUUGCAUUGCAUGUAUUCCCAGCAGUGACAUAGAGUAGGUCUGUGUGGGUCAUGCAUGCUUAUAACAUUUGUUUUCUUUUCUGGAAAGUAACAAAAAGAAGCUAAGUAAAGACCAUGAGGAGUGUAGCCAAAACAGUGCAAAACAAGUUAAGGUAACAUCCUGAAGGUGGUUAAAGGACAUCCAAAUGUACCCUCCUUUAUAUGACAAAUCCUGUGUGGCAUCCCUGGAAAAUGGCUUCUUUUAAGAUCUUCUGCACUGAUCCUUUUAAGUUCAGCAUUUUAAGCGAACCUUGGAAAAACGAUUGUGUGAUCAGACACCGCACUGCAAGCAAGAACGCCCAUUUGGUAAUGGUAGUUGUGGACAAAAAGCUGAAUGCUGUGGUUUCAGUGACUUAUCAUUGAGACCUUGUGGUUUCUGUGUAGGAGGGCUGUACAAGCUGGACACGUUUGACAUCCUUAUUUCUGAGCUGUGAAAUCUGUACAUCUAACUUAUGAAAAUUACUUCUGCUUUUAUUUUAUUCUUUUAUUUAAUGAAGUCAACGCCAUAUUUUCCUUGCAUUCAGUGGAAACAAAAACAAUGGAAAUGUUUUAGGGUAUGCUAUGAACCUGCUUUGACCUCCAAAGAGAAAAGGAUGAAUAUGUUCAUUUCUAUGAUUAAUAGUCAAGAUGCUUUACUUAUAGAAGUAAGCUUAAAUAAAAUAUUGUAACCAGUUGAUUGGAGAGAGGGGAGCAUUUCUCUGAUGUGGAGCUAGAGGAUUCAUUACUAUGCCAUGUCAGUAUUAUGUUUUUAAUCCUUGAUUUUUUACUGUAUGUAUAAUAGUAACAUAGAACCAUGUAAAUAUCUGUAUUUCUUUUAGAGGGCUAAAUCUGGUUCUUCAGACCAAAAAUGGAUUACUUCGGAAUGGGGAGGGCUGAAUAGUCUUCCCAUGCUGUGGAGCUGUAGAUAAGUCACUCCUGCACCUCUGUUCUGCUAGUAAUAGAUGCACUGGUGUCAGCCUGUCUCUUCCCCCAGGCCACUCCCUCUCUAGCUGCUAUGUAGAUACAUACCAGGAGCCCCCAGAGAGCUGAGAUUUGUAGAAUGCAGAGCAUUUGGGCCUGUGUGGGUUCAGCAAAUCCUGUCUCCCCUCAUUGUCCUACACAGCAGAACCCCACCAACUGCACCACACCUGGGGCCUUCUGCAGGGGCAAGAUCAGUGCCCAGGUAGCCAAUACAUCAUACUCCAAAAUGAAGCAAUAGAAGUGAGUCAAAUCCUAUGCAUAUGAAAGAGACCACUCAAAGAUUCCAAACUGACCCACAAUCUUUCUUGGGUAUGUCUGCACUACAAAUGCUACAGCAACACACUACAGCUAUGCUGCUAUAGUAUAGACACUAGAGCGAGGGAAGAGGUUUUUCCUGUUCUUUAGUAAAUCCACCUGCCUUUCGAGAAGGCUGAUGGAAGAAUUCUUCUGUUGGUGUAGCUGCAUCAACUGUGGGGGUUAGGUUGACCUAACUACAUCGCACAGGCUGUGAAAUUUUUCACAGCCCUGAGUGACAUAGCUAGGUCGACCUAAGUUUUAGAUGUAGACCAGACCCUGGCAAAAUAGAAGAGGAACUAGUACUUCUGUGCAAAACAUCCAUUCACCCCAUCUGUGGUAGAAAAAUCCAUCUGAAAGCAUGAAAGACAAUAGAACCCUCUUGCAUGCAUUUUGUGUUAACUAAGAUUUAGAGUGUGAUUAUCACUGAACAAUCAUUUUGGAAAAGAUGGCCAUGAGAUGCUCAUUUUACCAACUCUGAUUUUUGUAUCAAACACAUGCCUUCACAAGUAAAAAGAUCAGAUAUGUUGAUUUUUAACUACAAAUUUGCUCAAUGAUCUCUGUUUCAGACAUGUUAAAAAAAUGUUUGCUAAGUGCCAGGCUUGCAAAAUCUCCCUUGGAUCUGAAAAUCAAGGGGGUGAUACUGCUUAAUCAACACAAUCUGAAUAAAGAGAGUCACGUAAUAGUGGUAAGCAGUUGAGGUAUAUGGUUGGAAAAUAGUAAACUUGCUGUAUUAAAAUAUCCAUGUGUCAGGGACAUUUUUCUUGUGCUACUAACCAAGUACUUGUAAUAAACAUCUCUAAGUGAGAA